UGUGUGUCUGAGAAUCUUGGC
rnacentral:siRNA from 1 species